UCUGGUGAGAAUAGCAAGAGGGAAACACCUGUACCCAUACCGAACACAGAAGUUAAGCCUUUUAACGCCAAAAGUACUGAUUUAGAGAUGAAUUGGGAGGAUAGGAACUUGCCAGUA
rnacentral:rRNA from 1 species